AUGAUAAAUAUAGAAGAAAUAGGCGGUUUGAAGCUUACCGGCCGGAGCAGCCCCGACAGAUCUCCGACUAUGACGACGGUGGAAGAACGGAAACAAAUAUUCUCCGUGAAUUUAGAAAGUAGAGAGAAUAUGUUAAUUUGUUGUGGUGCGUGCGUUGUGAUGUUGUUGAUGUGCUUCAUUGAUCUGAGUGGAAAGAGUUUGAGCUUUGUAGCGUAG